rnacentral:rRNA from 1 species
UACAGAGGGGGCAAGCGUUAUUCGGAAUUAUUGGGCGUAAAGGGCGCGUAGGCGGCUUGGCAAGUGGAUGGUGAAAUCCCUCGGCUUAACCGAGGAACUGCCGUCCAAACUGCUUUGCUUGAGACCGGGAGAGGUGAGUAGAAUUCCCAGUGUAGCGGUGAAAUGCGUAGAUAUUGGGAGGAACACCAGUGGCGAAGGCGGCUCACUGGACCGGUACUGACGCUGAUGCGCGAAAGCGUGGGGAGCAAACAGG